UGACUGGGCAUGGUGUCCCAGAUGGUCAGCCACCCUCUCUCGGGCAGGUAACCACACACCUAUGUGUCCCACUCAGUCCUGCCCCUCUGCAGUGGUGCCACCUGGCAGGGCCCAAAGGCCCAGACAGUGUGGGAAGAAAUGGGUGGCUCACGCUGGCUCAGCCGAGGAGAAAAUCAAACUGAUGUGUUUUGAGAACUGGAGAGGAUUAUGGAGAGGACUACAAGACUUGAGAACGGGAGGACAAACACCAGCAGUAGUGUCCUGUGAACAUUUCCCAAACAUGGAGGAGUCCUGGAAUAAACCAUGCCUUGGAUCCCACAGCUGAAGGAGGAGCACAGCACAGCUGGGAUCCCGGGACUCUGAAGUCUCCUGGAUGUGGCAGGAGUAGGCUCAGCCACUGUGCACAGCGUGUGUCCUCGAGCAGGUCACCUAAACUGCCUGGGUCUCACAUCCCUUGCCCCUAAAGUGGGAAGAAUAAUACUAUUGUACAAGGUUUAGAAAUUCAUAAAACUAUUGGUAGGAAUGUAAACUGCUACAGCUACUAUAAAAAAUAGUAUGGAGAUUCCUCAAGAAAACCACAAAUAGAAUCACGAUACGAGCCAGCUAACCCACUCCUGGGUGUUCAUCCAGAGGGAAGGAAGUCAGUAUAUCAAAGAGACAUCUGCAUCCCCACAUUCAUCCCAAUACUGUCACAAUAGCCAAGAUAUGGCACCAACAGAGGUGUCCACCACCAGAUGAAUGGAUGAAGAAUGCAGUAUAUAUACACAACGGAAUACUAUUCAGCCAUAAAAAGGAAUAAAACCCUGUCAUUGUGGCCACAUGAAUGGAACUGGGGACAAGAUAUUAAGUGAUGUAAGUCAGGAACAGAAAGUUCAACACCACACGUUCUCACUCAUAUGUGUGAGCUAAAAAAAAAAAGAAAAGAAAAGAAAAAAAUGAUCUCAUAGAGUUAAAAAGUAGAUUGGAGGAUACUAGAGGCUGGA
rnacentral:lncRNA from 1 species